rnacentral:rRNA from 1 species
GGGUAGUUUGACUGGGGCGGUCUCCUCCUAAAGAGUAACGGAGGAGCACGAAGGUUGGCUAAUCCUGGUCGGACAUCAGGAGGUUAGUGCAAUGGCAUAAGCCAGCUUGACUGCGAGCGUGACGGCGCGAGCAGGUGCGAAAGCAGGUCAUAGUGAUCCGGUGGUUCUGAAUGGAAGGGCCAUCGCUCAACGGAUAAAAGGUACUCCGGGGAUAACAGGCUGAUACCGCCCAAGAGUUCAUAUCGACGGCGGUGUUUGGCACCUCGAUGUCGGCUCAUCACAUCCUGGGGCUGAAGUAGGUCCCAAGGGUAUGGCUGUUCGCCAUUUAAAGUGGUACGCGAGCUGGGUUUAGAACGUCGUGAGACAGUUCGGUCCCUAUCUGCCGUGGGCGCUGGAGAACUGAGGGGGGCUGCUCCUAGUACGAGAGGACCGGAGUGGACGCAUCACUGGUGUUCGGGUUGUCAUGCCAAUGGCACUGCCCGGUAGCUAAAUGCGGAAGAGAUAAGUGCUGAAAGCAUCUAAGCACGAAACUUGCCCCGAGAUGAGUUCUCCCUGAGACUUAGAGUCUCCUGAAGGAACGUUGAAGACGACGACGUUGAUAGGCCGGGUGUGUAAGCGCAGCGAUGCGUUGAGCUAACCGGUACUAAUGAACCGU